rnacentral:rRNA from 1 species
AACAGACUGCCGUGGAUAACACGGAGGAAGGUGGGGAGUGACGUCAAAUCAUCAUGCCCCUUAUGAUCUGGGCUACACACGUGCUACAAUGGUCGGUACAACGGGCAGCGAAAGAGUAAUCUGGAGCGAAUCCUAAAAAGCCGAUCCCAGUUCGGAUUGUGGGCUGAAACUCGCCCACAUGAAGUUGGAGUUGCUAGUAAUCGCGAAUCAGAAUGUCGCGGUGAAUGCGUUCCCGGGUCUU